UGCUGGAGGUAUCAGAAGUGCGAAUGCUGACAUAAGUAACGAUAAAGCGGGUGAAAAGCCCGCUCGCCGGAAGACCAAGGGUUCCUGUCCAACGUUAAUCGGGGCAGGGUGAGUCGACCCCUAAGGCGAGGCCGAAAGGCGUAGUCGAUGGGAAACGGGUUAAUAUUCCCGUACUUGGUGUUACUGCGAAGGGGGGACGGAGAAGGCUAUGUUGGCCGGGCGACGGUUGUCCCGGUUUAAGCGUGUAGGUGUGUGUUCCAGGUAAAUCCGGUUCACUUUAACACUGAGGCGUGACGACGAGGCACUACGGUGCUGAAGCAACAAAUGCCCUGCUUCCAGGAAAAGCCUCUAAGCAUCAGGUAACACGAAAUCGUACCCCAAACCGACACAGGUGGUCAGGUAGAGAAUACCAAGGCGCUUGAGAGAACUCGGGUGAAGGAACUAGGCAAAAUGGUGCCGUAACUUCGGGAGAAGGCACGCUGACACGUAGGUGAAGUGAUUUACUCACGGAGCUGAAGUCAGUCGAAGAUACCAGCUGGCUGCAACUGUUUAUUAAAAACACAGCACUGUGCAAACACGAAAGUGGACGUAUACGGUGUGACGCCUGCCCGGUGCCGGAAGGUUAAUUGAUGGGGUCAGCGCAAGCGAAGCUCCUGAUCGAAGCCCCGGUAAACGGCGGCCGUAACUAUAACGGUCCUAAGGUAGCGAAAUUCCUUGUCGGGUAAGUUCCGACCUGCACGAAUGGCGUAAUGAUGGCCAGGCUGUCUCCACCCGAGACUCAGUGAAAUUGAACUCGCUGUGAAGAUGCAGUGUACCCGCGGCAAGACGGAAAGACCCCGUGAACCUUUACUAUAGCUUGACACUGAACAUUGAGCCUUGAUGUGUAGGAUAGGUGGGAGGCUUUGAAGUGUGGACGCCAGUCUGCAUGGAGCCGACCUUGAAAUACCACCCUUUAAUGUUUGAUGUUCUAACGUGGACCCGUAAUCCGGGUUGCGGACAGUGUCUGGUGGGUAGUUUGACUGGGGCGGUCUCCUCCUAAAGAGUAACGGAGGAGCACGAAGGUUGGCUAAUCCUGGUCGGACAUCAGGAGGUUAGUGCAAUGGCAUAAGCCAGCUUGACUGCGAGCGUGACGGCGCGAGCAGGUGCGAAAGCAGGUCAUAGUGAUCCGGUGGUUCUGAAUGGAAGGGCCAUCGCUCAACGGAUAAAAGGUACUCCGGGGAUAACAGGCUGAUACCGCCCAAGAGUUCAUAUCGACGGCGGUGUUUGGCACCUCGAUGUCGGCUCAUCACAUCCUGGGGCUGAAGUAGGUCCCAAGGGUAUGGCUGUUCGCCAUUUAAAGUGGUACGCGAGCUGGGUUUAGAACGUCGUGAGACAGUUCGGUCCCUAUCUGCCGUGGGCGCUGGAGAACUGAGGGGGGCUGCUCCUAGUACGAGAGGACCGGAGUGGACGCAUCACUGGUGUUCGGGUUGUCAUGCCAAUGGCACUGCCCGGUAGCUAAAUGCGGAAGAGAUAAGUGCUGAAAGCAUCUAAGCACGAAACUUGCCCCGAGAUGAGUUCUCCCUGAGACUUAGAGUCUCCUGAAGGAACGUUGAAGACGACGACGUUGAUAGGCCGGGUGUGUAAGCGCAGCGAUGCGUUGAGCUAACCGGUACUAAUGAACCGUGAGGCUUAACCUU
rnacentral:rRNA from 1 species